GGCGGAGGAUGAACGCUAACUACCGGCUUAACACAUGCAAGUCGAGGGGCAGCGAGAGGAAAGCUUGCUUUCCUUGUCGGCGACCGUCGCACGGGUGAGUAACGCGUAUCCAACCUUCCCCUUAAUAGGGCAUAGCCCGGCGAAAGUCGGAUUAAUACCCUAUGUUUUCCGAUGAGGACAUCUGAGCUGGAAGCUGAUUUAUCGCUAAGGGAUGGGGAUGCGUCUGAUUAGGUAGUCGGCGGGGUAACGGCCCACCGAGCCUACGAUCAGUAGGGGUUCUGAGAGGAAGGUCCCCACUAUUGGUACUGAGACACGGACCAAACUCCUACGGGAGGCAGCAGUGAGGAAUAUUGGUCAAUGGGCGAGAGCCUGAACCAGCCAAGUAGCGUGCAGGAUGACGGCCCUAUGGGUUGUAAACUGCUUUUAUCGGGGGAUAAAGUGAGGGACGCGUCCCUUUUUGUAGGUACCCGAUGAAUAAGGACCGGCUAAUUCCGUGCCAGCAGCCGCGGUAAUACGGAAGGUCCGGGCGUUAUCCGGAUUUAUUGGGUUUAAAGGGAGCGCAGGCCGAUGGUUAAGCGUGACGUGAAAUGUAGCCGCUCAACGGCUGAACUGCGUCGCGAACUGGCCGUCUUGAGUGAGUUCGAUGUGGGCGGAAUUCGUGGUGUAGCGGUGAAAUGCUUAGAUAUCACGAAGAACUCCGAUUGCGAAGGCAGCCCACAAGGCCUUUACUGACGCUAAAGCUCGAAGGUGCGGGUAUCGAACAGGAUU
rnacentral:rRNA from 1 species